UACGUAGGGUGCGAGCGUUAAUCGGAAUUACUGGGCGUAAAGCGUGCGCAGGCGGUUCGUUGUGUCGGCGGUGAAAGCCCCCGGGCUUAACCUGGGAAUGGCCGUUGAAACUGGCGAACUGGAGUGUGGCAGAGGGGGGGUGGAAUUCCGCGUGUAGCAGUGAAAUGCGUAGAUAUGCGGAGGAACACCGAUGGCGAAGGCAAUCCCCCUGGGCCUGCACUGACGCUCAUGCACGAAAGCGUGGGGGAGCAAACAGG
rnacentral:rRNA from 1 species